UACGUAGGGGGCAAGCGUUGUCCGGAUUUAUUGGGCGUAAAGAGCGUGUAGGCGGCUAGAUAGGUCCGUUGUGAAAACUCGAGGCUCAACCUCGAGACGUCGAUGGAAACCAUCUGGCUAGAGUCCGGAAGAGGAGAGUGGAAUUCCUGGUGUAGCGGUGAAAUGCGCAGAUAUCGGGAAGAACACCCGUGGCUAAGGCGGCUCUCUAGUACGGUACUGACGCUGAGACGCGAAAGCGUGGGGAGCGAACAGG
rnacentral:rRNA from 1 species